CCUACGGGUGGCAGCAGUGAGGAAUAUUGGUCAAUGGGCGCGAGCCUGAACCAGCCACGUAGCGUGAAGGAUGACUGCCCUCCGGGUUGUAAACUUCUUUUAUAAAGGAAUAAAGUGAGGCUCGUGUGCCUUUUUGUAUGUACUUUAUGAAUAAGGAUCGGCUAACUCCGUGCCAGCAGCCGCGGUAAUACGGAGGAUCCGAGCGUUAACCGGAUUUAUUGGGUUUAAAGGGAGCGUAGAUGGGUUGUUAAGUCAGUUGUGAAAGUUUGCGGCUCAACCGUAAAAUUGCAAUUGAUACUGGGUGCCUUGAGUACAGUCGAGGUAGGCGGAAUUCGUGGUGUAGCGGUGAAAUGCUUAGAUAUCACGAAGAACUCCGAUUGCGAAGGCAGCUUACUAAACUGCCACUGACACUGAUGCGCGAAAGUGUGGGUAGCAAACAGGAUUAGAUACCCCAGUAGUC
rnacentral:rRNA from 1 species